GGGCUAGUACCGGUUUCGACGGGGAUGAUGCAGCUUUAGAAGCUAUCCGAAAGACAGUCGCGUUAAACUUCAAACCUAAAUAUAAACGCUAACAAUAACGAAUUAGCAUACGCAGCCUAAGUGCUGUGUGGUCAGCCUUGAUGCACUCACACAUCGAGAAUCUGGCCUCAUCUAUGUGAGAAACGACGUUAAGAGUUUCUCCUCUUAACGGGCGUAUUCAGAGGAUACCGGCCACCAAAGGACGUGCACAUCCUUUGAUGGUGGGGAAUCUAUAAAGUGUACUACGAUAGUAGAAGGAGAGGGAAUUCAUUUUCGGACACGGGUUCGACUCCCGUCUGGUCCACUC
rnacentral:tmRNA from 1 species